AGUCUGCUGGAGGCCUAACACAUGCAAGUCGAGCGCUCACUUCGGUGGGAGCGGCGGACGGGUUAGUAACGCGUGGGAACGUGCCCAGAUCUAAGGAAUAGCCACUGGAAACGGUGAGUAAUACCUUAUACGCCCUUCGGGGGAAAGAUUUAUCGGAUUUGGAUCGGCCCGCGUUAGAUUAGAUAGUUGGUGGGGUAAUGGCCUACCAAGUCUACGAUCUAUAGCUGGUUUUAGAGGAUGAUCAGCAACACUGGGACUGAGACACGGCCCAGACUCCUACGGGAGGCAGCAGUGGGGAAUCUUGGACAAUGGGGGCAACCCUGAUCCAGCCAUGCCGCGUGAGUGAUGAAGGCCUUAGGGUCGUAAAGCUCUUUCGCCAGGGAUGAUAAUGACAGUACCUGGUAAAGAAACCCCGGCUAACUCCGUGCCAGCAGCCGCGGUAAUACGGAGGGGGUUAGCGUUGUUCGGAAUUACUGGGCGUAAAGCGCGCGUAGGCGGAUUGGAAAGUUGGGGGUGAAAUCCCGGGGCUCAACCCCGGAACUGCCUCCAAAACUAUCAGUCUAGAGCUCGAGAGAGGUGAGUGGAAUUCCGAGUGUAGAGGCGAAAUUCGUAGAUAUUCGGAGGAACACCAGUGGCGAAGGCGGCUCACUGGCUCGAUACUGACGCUGAGGUGCGAAAGUGUGGGGAGCAAACAGGAUUAGAUACCCUGGUAGUCCACACCGUAAACGAUGAAUGCCAGUCGUCGGCAAGCAUGCUUGUCGGUGACACACCUAACGGAUUAAGCACUCCGCCUGGGGAGUACGGUCGCAAGAUUAAAACUCAAA
rnacentral:rRNA from 1 species